rnacentral:rRNA from 1 species
UACGGGGGGGGGCAAGCGUUGUUCGGAAUUACUGGGCGUAAAGGGUUCGUAGGUGGCCCGCUAAGUCACACGUGAAAUCCCUCAGCUUAACUGGGGAACUGCGUGUGAGACUGGCAGGCUUGAGUGCAGGAGAGGAACGCGGAAUUCCAGGUGUAGCGGUGAAAUGCGCAGAUAUCAGGAGGAACACCGGUGGCGAAGGCGGAUCUCUGGGCCUUACCUGACGCUGAGGCGCGAAAGCUAGGGGAGCGAACAGG